rnacentral:lncRNA from 1 species
GGGAGCGAAGAGGUAUGGAGACAACCACAGGCAGAAAUAUCACCCAUGCUGCACUGUUAAAAGAUCUAUUGUAAGCAGUUUCACUUCCCUUAAAAUUAGGUAUUUGUAAAUGUGCGGCCCACACGAAAGGUCAGGAUACGGUUUCUUAGGGGAACCGUAGAGCUGACAAAGCAGCCAAAGUGGCAGCACAGGGUCAGUAUGGUGAAAGUACAGUUUAUCUAGUGAAAAACAACAUGUAUAUAGACUCAGAGGUGUUACAAGACAUGCAGAAUAGUGCACCUCAGACAGAGAAAAAGGACUGGACUGAUAAUGGAGCUGUAAGAAAUAAUGAUACCAUUUAUGUUGUAAAUGAUAAACCAGUUCUACCAAGAAGUUUGUUUAAAACAGCAGCAAUUUUGAGCCAUGGGCCCUGCCAUGUCUCAACAGGAGGGAUGGUAGAAAUAAUAAACAAACACUUUACAACAUAUGGUUUCACAACUUACUCAAAAAAUUUUUGCAGAGCAUGUACUAUAUGUAUUAAGCAUAAUCCUGAGGGAAAUAUCAGACCUAAGAGGGAAAGAUUUCCUGCACCAGAGUAUCCAUUUCAAUGUGUACACAUGGAUUUUAUAGAACUUAACAGAAGCGGAGAAUAUAAAUACUGUUUAGUAUUAGUGGAUGCUUUUUCUAAAUGGGUUGAAAUAGUGCCAGCAAAAACUGCAGAUGCACUAACUGUAGCUAAAGCACUAUGCAAAACAAUAAUUCCACAACAUGGAAUUCCACAGACAUUAUACAGUGACAACGGACCACAUUUUGUAAAUAAAGUAAUUGAGACUGUGGCCCAGAACAUGCAGAUAAGACUGAAAAAUCAUUGUGCCUACCACCCUCAGAGUGCACGGUUAGUAGAACAAACAAAUGGUACUGUCAAGAAUAGACUAAAGAAGUGUAUGGAACACACAAACAGGCCGUGGCCAGACUGCUUAGAUCUUGUGAAACUUUACAUGAGAAUAACACCAACUGAUAAAGGAUUAACUCCUUUUGAAAUCCUUUAUGGAAGAUCUUUUCGACUGCCACUUGUAAAUAACUCUGUUGCUAUAUCACAUGAAGAGCAUACUUUAUGUGAUUAUAUGUCUAACAUGUUAAAAGAAAAAGAAAUUGUCAAAGCAAAAACACUGCCAGUCUCUGAUUUGUCAUUACAGGAGCAGAAAGUGACGGUUGGAGACUAGGUGCUCAUCAAAGUGAUAAAAAGAAAGACGUGGUCCAGCCCCCGGUGGGAAGGCCCCUAUCAAGUCCUACUGACAACUCCCACGGCUGUGAAAAUAGCAGAACGCCCUUCCUGGAUUCAUCUCAGCCACUGCAAAGUACAGCGCGUGCUUGACGGUUCAACUGAGUAGUGGGGAAGUCUGACUACAAAGGGGAUUCACCUUUUAGUGGUGUUUCGUCUCAAUGUCAGUGAAGCAAUCAAGGAUCCCUACUCAAUAGGAGUCUGAUAGACGUGGACAAUAUGGCAGACGGUGAGGAAGGAUCAAGACAACAAUCCAGGAGGCAGCGUCGGUGUACGGAGGUAUGCUGUGGAUUCAUGCUGGUAGCGCUGAUUCUUUUUGGACUCCUGGUAUGGUGGCUUCUACAGGAUGUUCCUCAACAACGAGAGAGAGAAGCGAGCACCAUGUUGAUGUAAGCCUGGAGACACACGUAACCAACAUGUGGUAUAGAUUGGCCAAUGCCACAGCAAAAGCAUACGACGAGACAGAUUGCUAAGUGUGUUCUUAUGUUCCACAUCAUUCAGACAGUAAUCCAUUCCUGACACUUAUUCCAAUGGGAGAACAUGAACUAGUUUGCCUGAUGAGUUUCCAAGGGCAUAUGCGACAAUGGGUUGGGAAAGCUAACGAGGCUCCAAGGUACUUUUUCAAGAAUACCAACUGUGGUAAAUUCCAAAUACCAAGCUUCGAGACAUGGUUACAUCCAUGUAACUUCUCAGGAAAAACCAACUCCACGUUGACCAGAGGAAUUGUCCCAGCUUGUAAUGACUUACAAACUGCAGCAUGCAUUGCUAGAACCUGCAAAACCGGACAUGACCGAUUCUUAGGAGGAACUACCAAUUGUGAAUGGAUAGACACCUCCUACAAUGCCAAAGAGAAGACGUGUGAAAUCCAAGGUAAAUGGUAUAACACGUACACAAAUGGCUGUCAGCCAGAACCGAAGACAGAGUUUAACAUCACCAGCUCUACAUCAAAGAAGGAACACUUCCUAAGUCUUAUGAUCGGUUCCUUUGUGGAGAUUCCGACAGCAGAGGAGAUGAUGAUUCGUGGAUCAAGCACACCCCCCUCCAUGGUUUGGCUCUGUGGACACAAAAUCUACAGGUUCCUUCUGGACAGAUGGUGUGGAUCCUGUACUCUGUGCAGACUGGCACCUGCAGCUUUUGUCAUACCGGCUAAGAACAUCACCGCCCACCACAGGAGCAGACUACAGAAACAAGAGGUUGAGGAGAAAAAAACCACCUCUCAUAUCUUACUUAAGAGGAACAAUCAUGACCAUCUUUCCACACUAUGGUGUGGCAUUCUUGGGACAUUGCAUGAACGUCCUCUACUGGGACUUGGAUAACCUUACCUCCAUGGUGUUGCAACUAGCAAAAACCUUAGCCAAUGACAAGGAGAAGGCUGCAAUGUGAGCCAUUAUAAUGCAGAAGUGCAUGGCCUUAGACUUACUAUUACCUGAACGAGGAGGGACUUGUGCUGUUGUCGGAGAUCACUGUUGCACUUACCUUAGAACUAUACUGCUAUAGUCCAUGGGUUACAAGAACUGAAGGACCAGUUGAGUACACAAGCCGACCUUGGGACAAUGAUUUUAAUCCCCUUCAGUGGUUCACAACUGGUCCUUGGUGGCAAAUGCUUUUGAAAAUAUUGACCCCAGUAAUUGUGAUUCUAUUACUGUUCUGUCUAUUUACUACUUGUGUGUUACUGUUGAUUCGAUCCAUGAUUAACAAGGCCGUUGCAGGUACAGUAUUGGAAGUAUAUGCCCACAUGCUAACAAUUUCACAGGAAUACAAAGAAUUAAUCCAAGACGAUGAGGACGAAGAUACCAUUGUUUAGACACUUGAGGAUGAGCCUACUGAAAUUGUGUUAAACGGAUGGUAACGCUUUGAUGUAUUUGUGAUCUCAAGAAUGAUAAACAGGAGGGAAAUGUUAGACUUUUGUGCCAUGCAUUGUGCAAGGGACAUGAAAUGCUUAUGUUCCUCAUUGUGUAAGAGUAACAAAACUAUUGCAAAGUUGACAGUUGCAGAAGUUUGCAGAAGUGAAUGACUAUGCAUAAUCAUGAAAUAAAAGAUGCCCUUGUGGAAGAACUGGUCAGAGAGGGCCUGACUGAGAACUCGAGCAGUUCUCCUCAGCCGUUCUUUCCUUGUGCAAGUGAAA